AAGGUCCAUGUUGUGAUCCUCUUUAAAGAAAUAUUCUAUUUUCAAUACAGACACAGCCCUUGACGUAGCAGUAAAAAACACCACCCCUGAGAGACACGUGGCUGUGAAGUAUGUUGAACUACAGCGAGAGGGAAGCAUCGAGACUCUGAGUAACAGCUCCGGUUCUACCAGCGG
rnacentral:lncRNA from 1 species